GACGAACGCUGGCGGCGUGCCUAAUACAUGCAAGUAGAACGCUGAAGGAGGAGCUUGCUUCUCUGGAUGAGUUGCGAACGGGUGAGUAACGCGUAGGUAACCUGCCUGGUAGCGGGGGAUAACUAUUGGAAACGAUAGCUAAUACCGCAUAACAGUAGAUGUCGCAUGACAUUUGCUUAAAAGGUGCAAUUGCAUCACUACCAGAUGGACCUGCGUUGUAUUAGCUAGUUGGUGAGGUAACGGCUCACCAAGGCAACGAUACAUAGCCGACCUGAGAGGGUGAUCGGCCACACUGGGACUGAGACACGGCCCAGACUCCUACGGGAGGCAGCAGUAGGGAAUCUUCGGCAAUGGACGGAAGUCUGACCGAGCAACGCCGCGUGAGUGAAGAAGGUUUUCGGAUCGUAAAGCUCUGUUGUAAGAGAAGAACGAGUGUGAGAGUGGAAAGUUCACACUGUGACGGUAGCUUACCAGAAAGGGACGGCUAACUACGUG
rnacentral:rRNA from 1 species